ACAGAGGCGGCAAGCGUUGUUCGGAAUUAUUGGGCGUAAAGAGCAUGUAGGCGGCUAUGUAAGUCGGUUGUGAAAGCCUUUUGCUUAAUGGAAGAAUGGCGGUCGAAACUGCAUGGCUUGAGUGCGGGAGGGGAGAGUGGAACUUCUGGUGGAGCGGUGAAAUGCGUAGAUAUCAGAAGGAACGUCGGCGACGAAAACGACUCUCUGGUCCGAAACUGACGCUGAGUGUGCGAAAGCUAGGGGAGCAAACGG
rnacentral:rRNA from 1 species